GAUCAGUGGCUACAGGACGAACGCUGGCGGCGUGCUUAACACAUGCAAGUCGAACGAGAGGAGAAGGAAGCUUGCUUCUUUCAAAUCUAGUGGCGGACGGGUGAGUAAUGCGUGAGCAACCUGCCCUUCAGAGGGGGACAACAGUUGGAAACGACUGCUAAUACCGCAUAAUGUAUCCGGGAGGCAUCUUCUGGAUACCAAAGGAGAAAUCCGCUGAUGGAUGGGCUCACGUCUGAUUAGCUAGUUGGUGAGGUAACGGCUCACCAAGGCUGCGAUCAGUAGCCGGACUGAGAGGUUGAACGGCCACAUUGGGACUGAGAUACAGCCCAGACUCCUACGGGAGGCAGCAGUGGGGAAUAUUGGGCAAUGGGCGAAAGCCUGACCCAGCAACGCCGCGUGAAGGAAGAAGGCCUUCGGGUUGUAAACUUCUUUUAAGAGGGACGAAGAAGUGACGGUACCUCUUGAAUAAGCCACGGCUAACUACGUG
rnacentral:rRNA from 1 species